rnacentral:rRNA from 1 species
CAGCCAUAUGGCGCCGAUGACAGACUUGGGUACACCCCGGAGUUUAGCAUCAACCCGAUGUGCUUGCGGGAUAGGGAUCUCUGGCUUAUGCGGUGCCCACUGAUAUGCAACUGGGCUGUUGAGUUUCAUUUGCCACAUCGCGUGUUUCGUCAGUUUGGUCUGUUCCAGCCUCACCCGCCGGAAUGGGUGGAUACGGACAAAGCACUUCAUAGGUUGGACAGGAGAAGGCAACGGAAGAUAAAGGACUGGGACAAGCAUCAUGCUUCGUAUGUUACCCGCUUCCAGCUUUGCGUGGAGCAAGCUCGUAGUAGUGCACGCGCCCAGCUUCGUGAGCAUAACCCACUUGCUUUUGAUAACUACAUACGAUGGCUUCUUGAAAAUACUCGAGUUGAGAUAUGCCCGCCGGCAUAUAAUGAGGAAAUUCUUGAAGAACCCGUAAACAUUGAGGAUCUAUCAAAGGGGAAGUACAAGAGAGAUGUCAGGGUAGGGCAAGGAGUCCCUGCUGUUCCGGUGAUUAACUAUGUGUGCACCGAGAUCAAGAAAGCAGCUGAUGAGAGCCAGUCUAUUCUCGAGAACACACCGGUUGGAAAAGGCAAUGAUGAUGAUUCACUACGAGCAUUCCUCAAGCGUCAGGCCAAGAAGUUAAGGCGGUUAUCGAAUCUUCUCGGUUGCCGUGAUCCCGAAUUUGAUGAACCAUCUGCCUCUAGGUCUGGUACACCAUCAGACCCCUCAUCUCACCAUCAGGGGGACGAUGUGAGUUCCUCAUAUGCUUAUCUGGAUGAUGAUGGC